UAUGUGAUCGUCUCUCGCAUAUCAAUAAGCGGAGGAAAAGAAACUAACAAGGAUUCCCCUAGUAACGGCGAGUGAAGCGGGAAGAGCUCAAAUUUGAAAUCUUAAAGGGUUUCCCUUUACGAAUUGUAGUUUAAAGAAGUGUUUUCUGUUGAGGUUUUGGUAAGAGUUCUUUGGAAUAGGACAUCAUAGAGGGUGAGAAUCCCGUAUUUGACCUUUACUUUCAACUUUGUGAUACACUUUCAAAGAGUCGGAUUGUUUGGGAAUGCAGUCCAAAAUGGGUGGUAAAUUUCAUCUAAAGCUAAAUACUGGCGAGAGACCGAUAGCGAACAAGUACCGUGAGGGAAAGAUGAAAAGAACUUUGAAAAGAGAGUUAAACAGUACGUGAAAUUGUCAAAAGGGAAGCGUUUGACACCAGUGUUGUUUUUCUGAAAAUCAAUUAAAGAACUGUUUAUGCUAAGUUGUUUAGACUUUAUCAGCUAACUGUUUAGUUUUGAGCUUUUCUUUAAUGCACUUUUCAGUUAACAAGUCAACAUCAAUUUCUUUUGCUGUAAAAAAGCUUGAGGAAGGUGGUUUGAGAUUCGUCUUAAGUGUUUAUAGCCUCUUGCCUAUGCAGUCGGAGAGAUUGAGGUCUGCAGCGUAGAUCCUUCGGGGCUAAAUGCAUUUGUGCUAAGUUAUAGCAUUUUAUAGACAACUUGUUGACUAUGAUUUGUCUUGUAGCUUACUCGCUUAUGUUAUUUUACCUACGCUUAGGAUGUUGAAGAUAUGCGCGACACG
rnacentral:rRNA from 1 species